rnacentral:rRNA from 1 species
GACGAACGCUGGCGGCGUGCUUAACACAUGCAAGUCGAACGGAAAGGCCCUGCUUUUGUGGGGUGCUCGAGUGGCGAACGGGUGAGUAACACGUGAGUAACCUGCCCUUGACUUUGGGAUAACUUCAGGAAACUGGAGCUAAUACCGGAUAGGAGCUCCUGCUGCAUGGUGGGGGUUGGAAAGUUUCGGCGGUUGGGGAUGGACUCGCGGCUUAUCAGCUUGUUGGUGGGGUAGUGGCUUACCAAGGCUUUGACGGGUAGCCGGCCUGAGAGGGUGACCGGCCACAUUGGGACUGAGAUACGGCCCAGACUCCUACGGGAGGCAGCAGUGGGGAAUAUUGCACAAUGGGCGGAAGCCUGAUGCAGCAACGCCGCGUGCGGGAUGACGGCCUUCGGGUUGUAAACCGCUUUCGCCUGUGACGAAGCGUGAGUGACGGUAAUGGGUAAAGAAGCACCGGCUAACUACGUGCCAGCAGCCGCGGUGAUACGUAGGGUGCGAGCGUUGUCCGGAUUUAUUGGGCGUAAAGAGCUCGUAGGUGGUUGAUCGCGUCGGAAGUGUAAUCUUGGGGCUUAACCCUGAGCGUGCUUUCGAUACGGGUUGACUUGAGGAAGGUAGGGGCGAAUGGAAUUCCUGGUGGAGCGGUGGAAUGCGCAGAUAUCAGGAGGAACACCAGUGGCGAAGGCGGUUCUCUGGGCCUUUCCUGACGCUGAGGAGCGAAAGCGUGGGGAGCGAACAGGCUUAGAUACCCUGGUAGUCCACGCUGUAAACGGUGGGUACUAGGUGUGGGGUCCAUUCCACGGGUUCCGUGCCGUAGCUAACGCUUUAAGUACCCCGCCUGGGGAGUACGGCCGCAAGGCUAAAACUCAAAGGAAUUGACGGGGCCCCGCACAAGCGGCGGAGCAUGCGGAUUAAUUCGAUGCAACGCGUAGAACCUUACCUGGGUUUGACAUGGAUCGGGAGUGCUCAGAGAUGGGUGUGCCUCUUUUGGGGUCGGUUCACAGGUGGUGCAUGGCUGUCGUCAGCUCGUGUCGUGAGAUGUUGGGUUAAGUCCCGCAACGAGCGCAACCCUUGUUCACUGUUGCCAGCACGUUAUGGUGGGGACUCAGUGGAGACCGCCGGGGUCAACUCGGAGGAAGGUGGGGAUGACGUCAAGUCAUCAUGCCCCUUAUGUCCAGGGCCUCACGCAUGCUACAAUGGCUGGUACAGAGAGUGGCGAGCCUGUGAGGGUGAGCGAAUCUCGGAAAGCCGGUCUCAGUUCGGAUUGGGGUCUGCAACUCGACCUCAUGAAGUCGGAGUCGCUAGUAAUCGCAGAUCAGCAACGCUGCGGUGAAUACGUUCCCGGG